rnacentral:tRNA from 1 species
AAGAUACUAGUGAAAACAUAACAUUUCCCUGUCGAGGCAAAAUUGUGGGUGGAAAUCCCACGUAUCUUA